AUUGAACGCUGGCGGCAUGCUUUACACAUGCAAGUCGAACGGUAACAGGUUAAGCUGACGAGUGGCGAACGGGUGAGUAAUGCGUCGGAACGUGCCGAGUAGUGGGGGAUAACGUAGCGAAAGCUACGCUAAUACCGCAUACGAUCUAUGGAUGAAAGCGGGGGACCGUAAGGCCUCGCGCGAUUGGAGCGGCCGAUAUCAGAUUAGGUAGUUGGUGGGGUAAAGGCCUCCCAAGCCGACGAUCUGUAGCUGGUCUGAGAGGACGACCAGCCACACUGGGAAUGAGACACGGCCCAGACUCCUACGGGAGGCGGCAGUGGGGAAUUUUGGACAAUGGGCGCAAGCCUGAUCCAGCAAUGCCGCGUGCAGGAUGAAGGCCUUCGGGUUGUAAACUGCUUUUGUACGGAGCGAAAAGGCUCUCUCUAAUACAGGGGGCUCAUGACGGUACCGUAAGAAUAAGCACCGGCUAACUACGUGCCAGCAGCCGCCGUAACAC
rnacentral:rRNA from 1 species